UCUGCCAUCGCCCCAAAGUGGAGAAGUGAACUCGUCUGCGAAACAUUCUAAGACCCCAAACACCAACAUGCAGUUCAAAAUUUUAUCUCUGCUGGUGCUGCUAUUGUGCGCCUUGUCUGCAGUCGCUAAGCCCAAACCCAUCAUCAUCAUCUCGGUUGGGACAACAACAACAGUUGCUACACCGACAAGUUUCCCUUCAAAGGGCAUCAGCAUUGGAUUCGGCAAAAAAUGAGCGGAGUUCAGCAACAAUCUUAUUUUUUACUCUUCACUCAAUCGCUACGCUACUAGUUGAAUUGUGCUCCGUUUUUAUUAUAAUAUUUCUGUUGUUUUCUACCCAAUGUUUCCACAUUUAUAAAAACCCAUGAAAAACA